rnacentral:rRNA from 1 species
AUGGAAUUGAGUUUGCCUCAUACGCUUCAUCUUUUUAAUUUCUUUCGUGAGAAUGAUGGAAAGGAAAAAUGUGCUCAAGUGCUAGAACAAGAAGUCUAUAAAAUGUUUGGCACUAAAUCUUUGAAUGAUGAGCAUGAUUGCAAUGUUAUUAGUACGAAUUCCUUAAAUAUCCAUGAUGCUAAUGAUAUGCAAAGCCACAAGCUUGGGGAAGCUAUGUUUGAUGAAGAUGAUAUUUUUUCCCCAAGUUCUGAUGAGCAAAUUUAUUAUGAUGAAAGCAUGCCUCCUAUUUAUGAUGAUUAUUGUGAUGACACAUAUGCUAUAAAGAAUAAAUAUUACCAUGAAACUUGUCAUCUUGAUUUUAAUUUUCAAUUGGAUUAUGCUUCACAUGAUAGUUAUUUUGUUGAGUUUGCUCCCACUACGAUUCAUGAGAAGAAUUUUGCUUAUGUGGAGAGUAAUAAAAUUUCUAUGCUUGUAGAUCAUGAAAAGAAUGCUUUAUGUGCUGGUUAUAGUGUUGAAUUCAUUCAUGAUGCUACUGAAAAUUAUUAUGAGGGAGGAACAUAUACUUGUAGGAAUUGCAAUAAUAUCAAGUUUCCUCUCUAUGGGCUUAAAGUUUUGAAGUUAUGCUUGUUUUGCCUUCCUAUGCUAGUUGAUUAUUGUUCCCAUAAGUUGUUUGCUCACAAAAUUCCUAUGCAUAGGAAGUGGGUUAGGCUUAAAUGUGCUAGUCAUAUGCUUCAUGAUGCUCCCGUUAUGUUUCAAUUCUUAUCUUUUAUGUGA